rnacentral:misc_RNA from 1 species
UCGAUAUUGUUAACACGGGUUUUGGUGUUUGUCGUGUGCGUGUGUGUAUGUGUGUGUGUGUGGAAAUUAAACGAAAUGUAUCAUUUGAUUUGGAUGUAUAUAAUCUAUUCUUCAACUGUGACGAUAUUCUUUAAUUAAGAUCUAGAAGAGAGUAUUUAGAAACAGAUGGGAAACGAACAGAGUCAGCAAGAGAGUGCCGAGGGAACGUCAAGUCGUAUAGGUAACGGUGCAGGUGGACCACAGUCAAACGCUAUGGUUUCACACAGGACAGGUACGGAGGAAGAAGACGUAGGUGUGGCAUCCCCACCUGAUGUUGAUUUGAGUAAUCUAUCGGAAGAAGAAAGAAAAAUGAUAUUGUCUGUUAUGGCACGCGCUCAAGAUUUGGAUAAAGACAUCACACAACGUAGAAGAUCAGCAGAACUGGUCAGAGCCGAAUCUCUUCCCAAUUCAGUAACUACUCAGAUAAUGUGUCCCUCUUGCCACGCGACAGAACUCACUAUUAGGACAUCAAUCAAAUGUUCAAAAUGCUGGAAGAGCUUUUGUGAAAAGUGUGGACAAUGCCCAAUUGUAGAAGGAAAGAAAUAUUCGUGGAUGUGCAAUUCGUGCAUACAACAAAUCCAGUGUAGUAAUAAAUCGAAAGUCAAAAGUCAAUCAACUCGAGAAGCUCAGGAGAAUGUCAGAAGAGCAGAUGCAUCCGGUGAAAUUAUGCCCGAAAAGCAUAAAAAAUCAGAAAAAUCAGAAGAAAUUGUUGGUAAAUGUCAUAUUCGAUCGCCAGCUAAAACGAGAAGAGAAAGCGUCGAGGUAGUCGUCACGGACGACACUCAACCGGAGACUAAACCAAGAGGAGUACAAAAGAGUAAAGAUGGAAUAGUUCGAGUAACCAGACCGGUUACUACAGCAAAUGGUGAUGCUGCCCCACCUCAUCGCACUCAGCGUAUCAGUAGACCGAUCCAAGUAGUGGCUAAAUCGGAAGCUGUGGUGCCUAGAAAAUUAAUAAACGUGGAAACAAAAGUUAAAAAACAACACGCCGAAGCGAAAUCUUCACCGGAAGUUUCCCCGAAAAGAAUCGCAAAAGUAAAAUCUCCCACAGAAAAUGUCUCGAAUAAAAAGGUUCACGUAAAAGCACCCUCUGUGGUAAAAGUGACUUCGAGUCACGAACCCGGAGUUGCUAAAAGUAAAGAGCCAAUUAAAGACGAAAGUAAAGAAAUUUCCGUAAUUGCUACUACUACUACUACUACUACAGUCGAUACAGUAAUUAGUUCGGUAAUUACUACUGUCUCUCAAACGUCUCCCAUCAUGGAUCGGCCCAUAAUAUCAGUGGAUGUCACCGUAGUGAGUAGAUCUUCGACGACUACCAACGUUAUUCUUACCACGUCUUCUAAGUCUGGUAUGACUAAUACAAUAGCUAAUAUCAGCACCGUAACUGUCACAUCAAAAUCGAAUGCUGCUAACAAUAUUCGAAGUUCAACUGUUUCAAUUUUGCCCCCGCAGCCAUUAGAAAGUAGUUGCAAGACUCAGUUACAAGAGAAAUCGACAAGCGUUCACGCUACUACAUUGCCAAGAAUUAAGAAAGCAGAAGGGAAUAAGGAAAAAGCAAUUUUGUCUCAGAACAAAACAUCGGAAGAAUGGAUAUCGAACAAAGAGGAAAAUCAAUCGUUUCCAAGUAAGGAAGCAGAAGAAUGUACGGAUGAAACAAACCAAAAUAAUUUACCUGAGAGUAGAAAACCCGAAGAACAAAUAGUGGGAACGGAACAAGGUCCUUUGAGAAUGAUGAAAACGGAAAAGUGGAAAACUGAGCAAGAAAAACCUAUAUACAGAAGUUCCGCUGAUGAAUGGAUUUCGAGUGCAGAGCAGGAUACUUUAUCUAGACGUAUAAUCUGCGAUGAGCGAAGAAGCAGUCUGGAUUCUAGCAUUAUAACUCGAGGCAAAAAGCGGGAAGAGCAGAUAACGGGCUUGGAAAAAACUACUAUCACAAAAACCGAAGAUUGGUCAAUAAAUUCUGAAAAUUUGUCCGGAAAUCACGUGUCCGAAGAACUAACCAAGGGCGUUGAACUAAGCGCGUUAUCUCGAUUGAAUAAAUCGAAAGAAUGGACGAGUGCCGACAUAAGUACGCUAUCAAAAGUAAAGGAUUCGGAACAGUUGGCAGAAAGUCCAAUUAAACUGAUCGAUAGUUCUUCGAGUGUCAUUAAAGCCGCAGAAAAUAGAAUGGAUUCCCACCGAAUAGAAUUGACGUCGUCUAGAGAUAGUACAAAUAACAACGGUCUUUCGUCUUCGGAUCAAUUAGGAACAAAUUAUCAAAUCAAACCUCUACAAGACAAUGCUAAUCAAGGACAGAACAAACAGAAACCGAGAACAAUCGAUUUACAACCACAGAAAAAAGUAAAACAGAAAGUAGAGACUGCCGACUGGUCGCCCGUGUCGGACUUAUCACCAAUUCUCGACGUGUCGCCCUCUCUAGAGGCGGCCGAACAAGAACUUAUAGAAAAGUUCCGACACAGAAGCGACUCAGAAGGUAACGCUAAUCAAACUUCGACGUCAUCCAAUAUACCACGUGCGACGAGUGGCACCAUUUCGGGAAUGCUGGCCGAUUUCAAUAAAGCGCUCGGUCUUCUCGACACGUCUCCCAUCGAAGACGUACAGAAGAAAGAAAAGUCACUUUCGGAAAGUCCCCCGGCCGUAAGUACCCCCGUGGCUCCCGUUACUACCGAGUCUGCCGUAUAUCACCCGGUACGUCAACAGAGAAAUCAGCAGCAACCGGGAACACCGAGACGCACCAGACGUCUUCCCCAGCCCACUAUGGAACAGAUGCAGGCAGCCGUUGCCAUGGCUGCGCACGGACCUCGAGAUAAACAAUCGAUAGCGAUGACGUCGGUGAGUACUGGCUCUACGUCACUUCCUGUCACUACCAGUCAGAGACCCGUUUCUCCCAUCAUGCCAUGGAGAACAAUAGAUAGCUACUUAAUGUCGGAUGCUGACGAAUAUGACGGGCGUACGGUUACUUUGCACGACAUUAGCAGUACGGUAACUACUUCGACUGCCGAAAGCGUACCAAUUACGACCGUCGCACCCUCUCAGUCGGCUGACAUCACCAUAACCGAAUCUUCGGAACUGUCACCGGAUAAAAGUGCAGUUUCCGAUCAAUCAGAAGUCUCUAACUCACUCACAACUUUAUCAUAUUCUUUGGCGCAGGAUACGGAAGAACAGUUAGAACUGGAUAGCAUAAAAUUGAGCAAACUGCGUAGAAAACUCCCAUCAGUGCCAAGUGCCGAUUACGGCAAGAUUCCAAGUGGCACUAAGCGAUCGAAAGACCGCACUAGGACACUUUCCACUGGUGCAACCCCUCUCUACACUCAAGAGUUGUUAUCUAAUGGAGAAACUCCAUUGGAGGAAGUUCCGCAAAGUGACGAUACUCUAUCGAAAUCCAAACUGAAUCCUCAACAGAGAUCAUCUAGCGCCGACGGUGAUUAUGUUCGCAACAUAUCACCCACUAGACAAGCUUAUUCGCCAGAACCGGCGCAUAGUUUUGCUUCUAGGAAAGAGCUCAGCGUGUCUCAAGGAAACUUAUCUUAUCUACGAACUCCCAGCCCUUUGUUGGGCUCGGAAUCUCGUCAGAUAACCGGAGCGGGUACGAAUCUUCCGGUAUACAUGAAAACUUUAAAGCAACAAUUGCGCGAUGAACUCAAAGCCGUCACAGAAGAACGUAAACGAGCGCAAGAAGUAAGAAAAGAACGUGACUUUUAUCUAAACACGGAGCAAGAAAGUUACAUGCCUCAACCGUGGCAAGAAGACACUUCACUUCAAUACGACACCUUAGCUACACACAGAAAGUUAUUACAUACAACUCCUGCUCCUUCGACAAUAGCCAGAAGACAAACUUCUCCUCAUACGUCACCGAGAAAAGGAAGACGUCGUCACACUUCAGACGUAUCUUUAAGACCGUUUUCGCCUAUUAAAGAAGAUAGAUCGUCGGAAGGAGAUUCGAAACCCAUUAAGACGUCUCCAAUCGAACCAGAAGUUGCGAAAAUGGAAGAAUUAAACUCUUUAGAAAAAUCUAAAGAGACAACCGGGACGGAAAUCGAACAGUACUUUCAACAAUACUCUGAAGAACUGGCUAAGAUAAGAACGGAAAACGGUGCAAACAUCUCGACCACUCCUCCAUUCGUAUCCGAUUCCUGGUUAAAGAAUUCAAAUUCUUGUUAUUUGACUACGGAACGAAAAAAACAACGUAAAGAAAAAAAGUCGAGGAAACCUCGUUCCUGGCAUCCUUCUCCUUACGUAUCUGAAGACGAAGACGAACAAAUGACACGAGAAGAAAAGAAAGCAAAGAUAAAAGCGGAGAUCGCUAGACGCAGGCAACAAAUUGAAGAAAAUACAAGAUUACACGAAGAACUGAUGAAAUUAGCUAAAUCGAGAGAAAAAGCCGAACAGAUAGAAUACAACAGUAGCUACAAAAUGUCACCGACUUUAGAUACCAUGUACAGGACAAGUCAUACGACGACGACGACCAGCAGCAGAACAGCAGAUUCCAUGCUCCCAGGAGAUACUACCAGCGUUCUGCAAGCUAUCGAUGAGAUAUUAAGAAAGGAAACUCAAGGGGUAUCAUCCGUCAGAUCUUCUCAAUACUUCAGUUCUCCAACCUCCUCCGUGUAUUCCACAAUGCCCAGAUCUCGGUACACUCCUCAUGAAAGUUCGUGGUACCAAAGAGAAUCAUCGACUGGAACUGUUCAGUUUCCAGAUAAUACAGCCGAAGACGAAAGUAUAGCUCGAAUAGCAUCAACAUUUCCUACAGACAGUGUUCAGAGUUCGAAUAUCCUGAUAAAUAAGCCAACACCACUUAUCGAAUUAGAAACACCAACAGAUACCGAUCCAACUCCAGCCAUGCCUUUAUUACCAGAUAUGCCCAGUAGAUCCAGGAAACUAUUAGAAGAUUUAGGAAGCUCGCCCAUCGGUAGUCAGGCGGGUAGAAGCGAAACAGUUCAGACACAGUAUGUCAGACAGUGCGGAGACACAGAUAAACAAUCUCACAUUGAUACAGAAUCAAUGACAGACAAUGCAUUAUUAAGACAAAUGAGGAAAAUGCAAAGACAAACUGUGAUCAGAACUCCUCAAAAAUACGAAUUUCCAGUUAAAAGAAUUUUAUUAACUCGAGAUCCGAAAGAUCGAUCCGUUAGCGGAAAUGGCCUCGGAAUGAAAGUGAUCGGAGGGAAAGAAAUACCCGGUGGAAAUGGGCUUAUGGGAGCUUACGUAGCUAAAGUGUGUCCCGGUGGUGUGGUAGAAACACUAGGAGAAGUCAAGGAAGGUAAUCAGGUAUUAGAAUGGAACGGUGUUCCCUUAACCGGAAAAACUUACGAAGAAGUUCAAAAAAUUAUUUCGGUGACGGCCGACGAAGUCGAAAUCGUUAUCAGAAGUGACUUCAAUAUGUUAGAGCCGAUGAGUUCGAAUCAGAGCAUCAGUCCUCGAGACGGAAUUAGUCCAUGCUCCACUCCAUCCGAUUCGUUGAAAGCUGGAACUCCCGGGGGUCGAACUCCUUCACCUUCGUCUCUCUCCGCUAGGAAAAUAGGUUCGCCCGCCAGCACUCCAUCUUCGAUCUCCACCCCUACAUACAACAACGUAACUUCUUCGCAUUUAGCAGCUGUAGAUAAAGACGAACAACAGGGAACACUAUCGAAGAACUACAGUGCAAACUUUACCUCGCUACGUAGGCAACCAUUUCGCAGCUCAUCCCAGCAUGGAACAUCGUGACAGCUGAUGCGUAAAAUAUCCGCAUGAAAAUAACCUACUUCUAUAUGCCGCUUGAUCAGAAGAUAUUGGAUGUGGUGAGAGGCGGUUGAAGAUGGCUGUGAUUUGCUGAUUUGUUAUAUCAUAUAGCGGCUCUACGUUAUGUUAAAGAUCAAUAGUUUACAACUAGUUGGUGAAUUGUUGCAGUUUAUCCAAUCAUUCCCGUUGUUUUAGAAAGAAACGAUCAAGGUGCUACGAUUGUCAAACAUAUCUCCUGUUACCUGACCAUUCCGAGGGUGAUUUGUUGAUACCUCGCGGGUCAAAAGAUUACGUUCUGUUUACGGUGUGUCGUCCAAGACUUAUUAAUAAUUCAAAUGUUUUGCACUACGUGACAUUCUCACUUUGAUGUUGUCUCUUCCUCACAUUAUAGCGGUUAAGUGAAGUACUUUGUUUAGUAAUUAUUCCCGAAUUCCGGGGGAUUUUACUUUUUUGCGUUACAUGUUCAUAUUGCUGAAUGCCAUUGUUGGCUAAGUUUUGACGGACCCACGAAAUUACAUAUAACCUGUUGUUUCUCUAAAAACGAUUCAUUCUGUCGGUUUUGACACAAAUAAAUUUAUUAAUUCAAA